rnacentral:rRNA from 1 species
GAUGAACGCUAGCGGCAGGCCUAAUACAUACAAGCUGAACGGUAAAUGUUGUAGCAAUAUGAUAUGAGAGUAGCGUAAGGGUGCGUAACACGUAUGCAAUCUGCCCGCAACAGGAGGAUAGCUCCCCGAAAGGGGAAUUAAUACUCCAUAAUAUCACGAGAGGGCAUCUGAUUGUGAUUAAACUCCAAGGGGUUGCGGGUGAGCAUGCGUCUGAUUAGUUAGUUGGUGAGGUAACGGCUCACCAAGACGAUGAUCAGUAGGGGAACUGAGAGGUUGAUCCCCCACACUGGCACUGAGAUACGGGCCAGACUCCUACGGGAGGCAGCAGUAGGGAAUAUUGGUCAAUGGGUGAGAGCCUGAACCAGCCAUGCCGCGUGCAGGAAGACGGCCUUCUGGGUUGUAAACUGCUUUUGUCAGGGGAUAAAAUACCCGUGCGCGGGGAAUUGAAGGUACCUGAUGAAUAAGCCACGGCUAACUACGUGCCAGCCGCCGCAGUAACAC